rnacentral:rRNA from 1 species
UACGUAGGGGGCAAGCGUUGUCCGGAAUCAUUGGGCGUAAAAAGCGUGUAGGCGGCUCGAUAAGUCUGCUGUGAAAGUCCAGGGCUCAACCCUGGAAGGCCGGUGGAAACUGUCGGGCUAGAGUCCGGAAGAGGCGAGUGGAAUUCCCGGUGUAGCGGUGAAAUGCGCAGAUAUCGGGAGGAACACCAAUGGCGAAGGCAGCUCGCUGGGACGGUACUGACGCUGAGACGCGAAAGCGUGGGGAGCAAACAGG